UUCUGUGUGUGUACUCAGAACUUGAAGGAUGAAGAUCAUGAAUUAUGUAGCUGUGCAGUACUGAUGGCAAUGCAGGCCAUGAUGAUGAGAUGAAUGUACUGAGCAGCCAAGAAGAGCAUUACAGCUCUUCUGAAGGCACCACUUCCUCAGGCGCUUCAUCAGGUGGUGCAGAAUCUUCACCCUGGUCUGUAACUUCUAUUUCCGCUAAAGACAUAGGCAUAACUGAUCUCUUUGUCCAAGUGAUGAACAUAGUUAUAAGGCGUUACUGGC